rnacentral:misc_RNA from 1 species
GAUGAAGAACGCAGCGAAAUGCGAUAAGUAAUGUGAAUUGCAGAAUUCAGUGAAUCAUCGAAUCUUUGAACGCACAUUGCGCCCGCCAGUAUUCUGGCGGGCAUGCCUGUCCGAGCGUCAUUUCAACCCUCGCGCCCAUCUGGGCUGCGGUGCUGGGGACCGGCCUGCCCCCCCGGGGCGCGCCGCCCCCCAAAUUCAGUGGCGGUCUCGCUGCAGCCUCCCUUGCGUAGUAGCACACCUCGCACCGGAGCGCAGCGCGGCCACGCCGUAAAACCCCCGACCCCCAUGAGUUUGACCUCGGAUCUGGUAGGAAUACCCGCUGAACUUAAGCAUAUCAAUAAGCGGAGGA